rnacentral:rRNA from 1 species
GAUGAACGCUGGCGGCGUGCCUAAUACAUGCAAGUCGAGCGAACGGACGAGACGCUUGCUUCUCUGAUGUUAGCGGCGGACGGGUGAGUAACACGUGUAUAACCUACCUAUAAGACUGGGAUAACUUCGGGAAACCGGAGCUAAUACCGUAUAAUAUUUUGAUCCGCAUGGUUCAAAAGUGAAAGACGGUCUUGCGGUCUCUUAUAGAUGGAUCCGCGCUGCAUUAGCUAGUUGGUAAGUUAACGGCUUACCAAGGCAACUAUGCAUAGCCGACCUGAGAGAGUGGUCGCCCACACUGGAACUGGGCCACGGACCAGACUCCUGCGGGAGGCAGCAGUAGGGAAUCUGACGCAGUGGGCGAAAGCCUGACGGAGCAACGCCGCGUGAGUGAUGAAGGUCUUCGGAGCGUAAAACUCUGUUAUUAGGGAAGAACAUAUGUGUAAGUAACUGUGCACAUCGUGACGGUACCUAGUCAGAAAGCCACGGCUAACUACGUG